rnacentral:rRNA from 1 species
CAUGCAAGCCGAGCGGUAGAGAUUCUUCGGAAUCUUGAGAGCGGCGUACGGGUGCGGAACACGUGUGCAACCUGCCUUUAUCAGGGGGAUAGCCUUUCGAAAGGAAGAUUAAUACCCCAUAAUAUAUUAAGUGGCAUCACUUGAUAUUGAAAACUCCGGUGGAUAAAGAUGGGCACGCGCAAGAUUAGAUAGUUGGUAGGGUAACGGCCUACCAAGUCAGUGAUCUUUAGGGGGCCUGAGAGGGUGAUCCCCCACACUGGUACUGAGACACGGACCAGACUCCUACGGGAGGCAGCAGUGAGGAAUAUUGGACAAUGGGUGAGAGCCUGAUCCAGCCAUCCCGCGUGAAGGAUGACGGCCCUAUGGGUUGUAAACUUCUUUUGUAUAGGGAUAAACCUUUCCACGUGUGGAAAGCUGAAGGUACUAUACGAAUAAGCACCGGCUAACUCCGUGCCAGCAGCCGCGGUAAUACGGAGGGUGCAAGCGUUAUCCGGAUUUAUUGGGUUUAAAGGGUCCGUAGGCGGAUCUGUAAGUCAGUGGUGAAAUCUCACAGCUUAACUGUGAAACUGCCAUUGAUACUGCAGGUCUUGAGUAAGGUAGAAGUAGCUGGAAUAAGUAGUGUAGCGGUGAAAUGCAUAGAUAUUACUUAGAACACCAAUUGCGAAGGCAGGUUACUAUGUCUUAACUGACGCUGAUGGACGAAAGCGUGGGGAGCGAACAGGAUUAGAUACCCUGGUAGUCCACGCCGUAAACGAUGCUAACUCGUUUUUGGGGCUUCGGCUUCAGAGACUAAGCGAAAGUGAUAAGUUAGCCACCUGGGGAGUACGUUCGCAAGAAUGAAACUCAAAGGAAUUGACGGGGGCCCGCACAAGCGGUGGAUUAUGUGGUUUAAUUCGAUGAUACGCGAGGAACCUUACCAAGGCUUAAAUGGGAAUUGAUCGGUUUAGAAAUAGACCUUCCUUCGGGCAAUUUUCAAGGUGCUGCAUGGUUGUCGUCAGCUCGUGCCGUGAGGUGUUAGGUUAAGUCCUGCAACGAGCGCAACCCCUGUCACUAGUUGCUACCAUUAAGUUGAGGACUCUAGUGAGACUGCCUACGCAAGUAGAGAGGAAGGUGGGGAUGACGUCAAAUCAUCACGGCCCUUACGCCUUGGGCCACACACGUAAUACAAUGGCCGGUACAGAGGGCAGCUACACAGCGAUGUGAUGCAAAUCUCGAAAGCCGGUCUCAGUUCGGAUUGGAGUCUGCAACUCGACUCUAUGAAGCUGGAAUCGCUAGUAAUCGCGCAUCAGCCAUGGCGCGGUGAAUACGUUCCCGGGCCUUGUACACACCGCCCGUCAAGCCAUGGAAGUCUGGGGUACCUGAAGUCGGUGACCGUAAAAGGAGCUGCCUAGGGUAAAACAGGUAACUAGGGCUAAGUCCGUAAC